rnacentral:rRNA from 1 species
ACAGAGGUGGCGAGCGUUGUUCGGAUUUACUGGGCGUAAAGGGCGCGUAGGCGGCGGAGUGUGUCGGGUGUGAAAUCCCAGGGCCCAACCCUGGAAGUGCGCCCGAAACUGCUCCGCUUGAGUGCGGGAUGGGAGAUCGGAAUGCAUGGUGUAGCGGUGAAAUGCGUGGAUAUCAGGCGGAACACCGGUGGCGAAGGCGGACAACUGGAACGGAACUGACGCUGAUGCGCGAAAGUGUGGGGAGCAAACAG